GGUGGCUGCCCCGGCCCCGUGGACACUGGCAGUUUGGGCCCAUCCUGGCCUCACAGCCGCCUGUGCCCAACCUGGCCUAUUCAGCUUGGCCGUCUUGGGUGACAGGCAGGAAGCCAUCGGACUGUGCCCCCUGUGAGGGCAGGAUGUCAGCUGGAGGUGACCUCAUGUCACCAGCCACCAGCCGCCAGCCACCCUUCCUCCUUUCUUAACCCUUUAGCACCUGGAAAGUUGGUUCCCACCUUCUGUCCUAAUUUGACUCCCUUCGCAGAGAGAGGUCAGCGUGUUGGCUGGUCUACCUGGAGCUGAGCUCUGGGGCUGUUGUCCCAUUUUGGAUUCGCCCUGUGCCUCAGGGCCGGCCAUUUCCCUUCCUUCCUUCCUUCAUCUGUACCACAGACAACCGUGCUUUACACAGACCUCAGCAGCUGGUGGGGGGGGGGGGGCGGCAGCUUAAUUAGUUAAUGUUUGUGAAGCUCUUUGAAGACACCAGUGCUCCGUAAAAGUUGGUCCUCAUUUUGCUAAGAAGGACAAGACCAUGCAUCCUAGUCUUUCUGAAAUGCAGGGCCCCCUGGCAGUCCCUCGCCACCACCCCUGCAGACCCAGGCGCUGGAAACCACCCACUGCUUCUCUCCAUAUGGAUCUGCCUGUUCUGGACAACUCGCCUGAAUGCAAGGAGGCCAUAUGUGGUCUUCUGUGAUAGCUUUCCGUCACUCAGCCUAACGCGGUCAAGAUUCAUCUGUGUCCACAUGUCAGUGCUUCCUUUCUUUUCACCGCUGGGGUAUAUUCCGCCCUAGGGCCGGGAGCGCAGGUUGUUUAUAGUUCAUCAGCGGCCGGGCCAAUGUGGCUUUUAAGUGGUCUUGCUUUACCGGCCUGCCUAGCCUCUCCCCAACAAGGGCAGGCGUUAUGCUGUCCACUGUUGGAAGCUUCCAGUAGAGUUGGUGCAGUGUGCCCAUCAUUUCCUUGCUGAGCACGUGACCAAAGGAUGCCUGGGUCAGGAUGCUUGGCUCUGCAUGGACUCAGCAUCCCUUUGCCUCACCUGGCCUCAGUUUCUUCAUCUGUAAAGUGAAGGGCUUCAACCACGUGGUCUCUAACAUCUCCUCUGGCUCUAACAUUUUCAGGCAUUUUAGCAAAGCAAUGAACAAGCAGCCUCAUAU